rnacentral:lncRNA from 1 species
CCUAACAAGGGUCAUGUCCUCGGUAACCUGCAUUCUAGUCAUGUCCUGCCUAAUCACAUCUCCCCAAUGCUUCUUAGGCCUCCCUCAACCUCGCCGACCUCCAACAAUCUACAGCCGCUCGCAGCUCCUCACCGGGGCAUCGGGACCCCUCCUCCGUACAUGCCCGAACCACCUCAGCCUCGCUUCCCGCAUCUUCUCGU